GUGAGGAGCCGUUACAGUCUGUACUCCCGGGCAGCUAUAGGCUGCCACAGGAUGUGCUUAAGCAAACAAAACUACUUUUCCUCAUCCCCAUCCCCCAAGCCCCGCCGCAGACCUUCGCGGACCUCGGUGGAGACUUGGACAACUUUGCCAGCAUUGUAAUCUCUCCAACGAAGCUUUCUGUGGGAAUAGAUCGUCGGCAGAGGAGAAGAGAAAUGUCCUAAAAGCUAAGCCGAGUUACAGAGACAACCUUCCUGGCCACGGAAACCUUUGCUGGGAUCUAUAACUUCAACUCGCUCCAAGUUUCCUCGAUAGAAGUUUCUGGCUGACGGUCCCAACAUGUAACUGAGGCACAGUGAGAAGUUAUUGUUCCGUGUGUACUCUUGGGAAGCUCUCUUCCAGAGCAGAUUAAAAUCUUUCUUUUGGUGUAUUAAAA